rnacentral:lncRNA from 1 species
GAAAAUAAAGCGAUAAUAGUAGUGCAAACCUGUUUGCAAUGGAGUGGUAAUGCUGAAUUGGCGAGCCGGAUUGAGUUGGACGGAGGUAGCUUUGCGGCCGCCGGCUUUUCCUUCAGGGUUUUCCGUCUGUGAGCGCUAGGGUUUGCUUGCUAGGGUUCUCCCUUUCCUUUUUUUCGUCCCCUUUUCAUUACUGAAGUGCUGGUAUUUAUAAUGCC